rnacentral:rRNA from 1 species
GAUUAACGCGAAGAACCUUACCUACCCUUGACAUGUACGGAACCCUGCAGAGAUGUGGGGGUGCUUGAAAGAGAGCCGUAACACAGGUGCUGCAUGGCUGUCGUCAGCUCGUGUCGUGAGAUGUUGGGUUAAGUCCCGCAACGAGCGCAACCCUUGUCCCUAGUUGCUACGCAAGGGCACUCUAGGGAGACUGCCGGUGACAAACCGGAGGAAGGUGGGGAUGACGUCAAGUCCUCAUGGCCCUUAUGGGUAGGGCUUCACACGUCAUACAAUGGCCGGUACAGAGGGUUGCCAAAGCGCGAGCUGGAGCCAAUCCCCAUAAAAGCCGGUCGUAGUCCGGAUUGCAGUCUGCAACUCGACUGCAUGAAGUCGGAAUCGCUAGUAAUCGCGGAUCAGCAUGUCGCGGUGAAUACGUUCCCGGGCCUUGUACACACCGAAUC